UGGGGAAUAUUGGGCAAUGGGGGGAACCCUGACCCAGCAACGCCGCGUGAAGGAAGAAGGUUUUCGGAUUGUAAACUUCUGUCCUUGGUGAAGAGGAAGAGACGGUAGCCGAGGAGGAAGCCACGGCUAACUACGUGCCAGCAGCCGCGGUAAUACGUAGGUGGCGAGCGUUGUCCGGAAUUACUGGGUGUAAAGGGAGCGUAGGCGGGUCGGCAAGUCAGUGGUGAAAUACAUGGGCUUAACCCAUGAAUUGCCAUUGAAACUGCCGGUCUUGAGUGGAUCAGAGGCAAGCGGAAUUCCGAGUGUAGCGGUGAAAUGCGUAGAUAUUCGGAGGAACACCAGUGGCGAAGGCGGCUUGCUGGGGUCUAACUGACGCUGAGGCUCGAAAGUGUGGGGAGCAAACAGG
rnacentral:rRNA from 1 species